GCCUUUGUGGUGUAACGGUAGCACACUUGGCGCGUAUUGAAGAGGUUCCAGGUUCGAAUCACGGCGAGAGCA
rnacentral:tRNA from 1 species